UACGAAAGGGGGCUAGCGUUGUUCGGAAUUACUGGGCGUAAAGCGUACGUAGGCGGAUUGUUAAGUGAGGGGUGAAAUCCCGAGGCUCAACCUCGGAACUGCCUUUCAUACUGGCAAUCUUGAGUCCGGGAGAGGUGAGUGGAACUCCUAGUGUAGAGGUGAAAUUCGUAGAUAUUAGGAAGAACACCAGUGGCGAAGGCGGCUCACUGGCCCGGAACUGACGCUGAGGUACGAAAGCGUGGGGAGCAAACAGG
rnacentral:rRNA from 1 species